GACGAACGCUGGCGGCGUGCCUAAUACAUGCAAGUUGAGCGCUGAAGGUUGGUACUUGUACCAACUGGAUGAGCAGCGAACGGGUGAGUAACGCGUGGGGAAUCUGCCUUUGAGCGGGGGACAACAUUUGGAAACGAAUGCUAAUACCGCAUAAAAACUUUAAACACAAGUUUUAAGUUUGAAAGAUGCAAUUGCAUCACUCAAAGAUGAUCCCGCGUUGUAUUAGCUAGUUGGUGAGGUAAAGGCUCACCUAGGCGAUGAUACAUAGCCGACCUGAGAGGGGGAUCGGCCACAUUGGGACUGAGACACGGCCCAAACUCCUACGGGAGGCAGCAGUAGGGAAUCUUCGGCAAUGGACGAAAGUCUGACCGAGCAACGCCGCGGGAGUGAAGAAGGUUUUCGGAUCGUAAAACUCUGUUGGUAGAGAAGAACGUUGGUGAGAGUGGAAAGCUCAUCAAGUGACGGUAACUACCCAGAAAGGGACGGCUAACUACGUG
rnacentral:rRNA from 1 species